CCCUAGCCCCGAUAGAAACGGUUACCCCACAGUAUAGAGUGGAGCGCAGGAGGACCUGAGCAUGGUGGGCGAUGGCGCGAGGAGUAAGAGUGGAUAGCGGGAAAUAGC
rnacentral:sRNA from 1 species